UGGCGGCGUGCAUAACACAUCAAGUCGAACGGUGAAGUCCCGUUCGGGGAGUGGAGCAGUGGCGGACGGGUGAGUAACGCGUGAGCAACCUGCCGUAUAGGUGGGGAUAACACAGGAAACUUGUGCUAAUACCGCAUAACGCAUAGGGACCGCAUGAUCUUUAUGCCAAAGAUUUAUUGCUGUACGAUGGGCUCGCGUAAAAAUGAUUAGACAGUUGGCAGGGUAACGGCCUACCAAAUCAACGAUCAUUAGCCGAACUGAGAGGUUGAACGGCCACAUUGGAACUGAGAAACGGUCCAGACUCCUACGGGAGGCAGCAGUGGGGAAUAUUGGGCAAUGGGCGAAAGCCUGAACCCCCAGCGACGCCGCGUGAGGGAAGAAGGUCUUCGGAUUGUAAACCUCUUUCAGCAGGGAAGAAGUCAGUGACGGUACCUGCAGAAGAAGUCACGGCUAACUACGUGCCAGCCGCGGC
rnacentral:rRNA from 1 species